ACUGUACAAAUGUACAUGUACGGUGCUGUGUAUGUACAUGUACUAAGUCGUGUAGGGAGGAAAAGGUAUUUUUCCACUGAUUUCCGCUGACAGACACCGUGUCCGGAGUGUACUGAUCCAGCAGUCUCCUGUCCACCCGAUCAUCCGAGGGACAGAGGAAAACUGAACCAACACUUGAAGAAAUUGAGCAGAAAUUUAGAGACAGCUGUUAACAAGUUAACAUCCAGCCUUUUCCUACUUAUUCAUCUCUUUGCCAUCAACCUUUCAAGAUGACAUCACUAACUGAUUAAGAGAAGAGUUACAAUGUAUGCAUCCAAAAAUUGGUCCGGUGUUUGUUUGAGGAAGUUGUGGUAACAUCGGGUUUGGUUCUGGUGGUGGUACAUCAUGCUCUUCACGUCCUUCACGCUCUUUCUGCCUUGCGGGCCUCCUUUCUCUCGGUCUACCAUC